UAGGGAAUCUUCCACAAUGGACGAAAGUCUGAUGGAGCAACGCCGCGAGAGUGAAGAAGGGUUUCGGCUCGUAAAACUCUGUUGUUAAAGAAGAACAUAUCUGAGAGUAACUGUUCAGGUAUUGACGGUAUUUAACCAGAAAGCCGCGGCUAACUACGUGCCAA
rnacentral:rRNA from 1 species